rnacentral:rRNA from 1 species
GAGUUUGAUCCUGGCUCAGGACGAACGCUGGCGGCGUGCUUAACACAUGCAAGUCGAGCGAGGCCCCGCCUUCGGGUGGGUGUCCUAGCGGCGAACGGGUGAGUAACACGUGGGCAACCUGCCCCCGGCUCUGGGAUAACUCCAAGAAAUUGGGGCUAAUACCGGAUAUGACCGCUGACCGCAUGGUCUGGUGGUGGAAAGAUUUAUCGGCUGGGGAUGGGCCCGCGGCCUAUCAGCUUGUUGGUGGGGUAGUGGCCUACCAAGGCGACGACGGGUAGCCGGCCUGAGAGGGUGACCGGCCACACUGGGACUGAGACACUGCCCAGACUUCUACGGAAGGCUGCAGUCGAGAAUCUUCCCCAAUGGCCGAAAGGCUGAGGGAGCGACGCCGCGUGCAGGAAGACGCUCUUCGGAGUGUAAACUGCUUUUGUUUGGGAACAACUCUGAGUGUACCGAACGAAUAAGGGGCUGCUAACUUCGUGCCAGCAGCAGCGGUAAUACGAAGGCCCCGAGCGUUAUCCGGAUUUAUUGGGCGUAAAGCGUUAAUAGGCGGCUUGGUAAGUACCUCAUCAAAUUCUGGGGCUCAACCCCAGAGCCGCGGGGUAGACUGCCCGGCUUGAGGCUGGGAGAGGUGAGCGGAACUAGCGGUGUAGUGGUAAAAUGCGUUCAUAUCGCUAGGAACACCGAAGGCGAAGGCAGCUCACUAGAACAGAUCUGACGCUGAAUAACGAAAGCGUGGGGAGCGAAUGGGAUUAGAUACCCCAGUAGUCCACGCCCUAAACGAUGAAUACUAGGGAUUGGGAGUUUCGACCCUCUCAGUCUCGUUCAAGCUAACGCGUUAAGUAUUCCGCCUGGGAAGUACGGCCGCAAGGCUAAAACUCAAAGGAAUUGACGGGAGCCCGCACAAGCGGUGGAGCAUGUGGUUUAAUUCGACGACAAACGAGGAACCUUACCAGGUCUAGACAUUCAGCUGCACGCCCCCAGAAACGGGGGAAGCCUUCGAGGGUGCUGAACAGGUGCUGCAUGGCUGUCGUCAGCUCGUGGCGUGAGCUGUUGGGUUAAGUCCUCUAACGAGCGCAACCCCUGUCGAGUGUUAAAAUAUUCGCUCGAGACUGCCGGCGAUAAGCCGGAGGAAGGAAGGGAUGACGUCAAGUCAGCAUGGUCCUCUGACGACCUGGGCCACACACGUGCUACAAUGGGGUGUAACAAUGGGUUGCCAAACCGCGAGGUGGAGCCAAUCCCACCAAACCACCCCUCAGUUCGGAUCGAGGGCUGCAACUCGCCCUCGUGAAGCUGGAAUCGCUAGUAAAUGCGCAUCAGCUAUGGCGCAUUGAUACGUUCUCGGGCUUUGUACACAC